ACGGGGGGGGCAAGCGUUGUUCGGAAUUACUGGGCGUAAAGAGCGCGCAGGCGGUCGUUCAAGUCGCGUGUGAAAGCCCCCGGCUCAACUGGGGAGGGUCACGCGAUACUGAUCGACUCGAAGGCAGGAGAGGGAAGUGGAAUUCCCGGUGUAGUGGUGAAAUGCGUAGAUAUUGGGAGGAACACCAGUGGCGAAAGCGACUUUCUGGGCCGUUCCUGACGCUGAGGUUAGAAAGCGUGGGGAGCAAACAGGA
rnacentral:rRNA from 1 species